GACAGAGGUGCCAAGCGUUAGGCGGAAUCACUGGGCUUAAAGCGUGUGUAGGUGGAUGCCUAAGUGCCUUGUGAAAUCCCACGGCUCACCCGUGGAACUGCUUGGCAUACUGGGUGUCUUGAGCCACUUAGGGGUCGCUGGAACAAACGGUGGAGCGGUGAAAUGCGUAGAUAUCGGGAGGAACACCAGUGGCGAAGGCGACUUCCUGGCCUGUUCUUGACGCUGAGGCGCGAAAGCUAGGGUAGCAAACGGG
rnacentral:rRNA from 1 species